GCCUUUACUCUUCCAUUCUUUUUACUCUCUCUUUCUCUCCCUAUAUGUAUGUGUAUCUUUCUAACCACUUUCACCUUACAUUCACUAUUCCUCUUUUUUCCCCCUCCUCUUCUAAUAUCACAUUCUCCCUUUCUAUCUCUCUUUUUCCUUUCGUUGUCUUUCUCUUUUACUCUCCAUUUCACCCCCAAUCUCUUUUGUACUCAUCAGAAAAAAAUUCUCACCCUUUUCUUCCUUACCUUCACAACAAACACCAAUAUUUGAAAACAUGACGACACGCCGACACGCACAAAAAGAAAAUCAGUGAAACCUGUGUGUUACAUGGAUACUGUGUACAGUCUUCAAACUAACUUGGAUUUUACCUAAGAAGAGACAUUAUUUAUACAUAUAUAUAUAUGUUUAUGUGUCAGUUUUUGUCCAUGAGUUCUUUAUGUCCAUGGCUAGUCGACCGAAGAGGAGUCCAGGAUUGGUAAAUUCUGUUGAGGACACUGUUAAGACGGAUGGACAGUUUUGUGAUUGCAUUCAUUUGCCUGGCCGAUGCUGCUGUGUCUGUGCUCCCAUACUGUCCUCAUUACCCCCAUCGUCAUCUUCCAGUUCUCUGUUGAUUGAGAUUUGAUUCAGUGCAAGAUGUCUAGCAGGAUCCGGUUCCAUUCUUAGCAGACAGACAGAACUGCAGCCGAGACUUGGAUUGUUACUUUUCCCUUUAAUAAAUCUCAUAUUCUGAUAAAGCUAAUGCAGGCUCCUACUGGAAUCUGAUAGAAAGAAACUGAAGUAAUUUAUAGUCAUCAGUGUUUAUAUGAGUAGUGGAUACGUGUGGCAUUUUAUGGGUGUGCAUAUGUGUACAUAAUUUAAAUAUAUGUGUAUAUUUCUAUAUGCAUAGCUGUAUGUUGAUGUGUCUGUGUACACAUUAUCUUUGUGUGAGUAUGGAUUUGUAUGGAUGUAUCUAUAGAAAUGUGUGUGUGUGUGUGUGUGUCUGCAAAGGAAUAUGUUGUGGGCUGUCCGUCCAUACAUACAACACCUGACAUAAGCUGAACAUGAAUGGGUUUGGCUACUUUGUUCAUUUGAAUGUGUGGUAGAUGUGUAU